AAUACUCACUAAGCCCAUAGCCCCAUACCAAAAAUAAAAAAAAUCAAGAGUUCUUCAAGAGAGAAAACUAGGGAGGGUUUGAAACCCUAAAAUCUUAAUUUCAUCGCCACCGCCAUUCAUUUCCUUGCCGCCAUUGUCGACAAGUCUCUUCUAUCAAUGCGUUGUCGAUGGAGCUAUGAAUGGAGGACGAGGUGAUCGUGGAGAAUUCGUGGAGUUCUCGCCUCUCAUGUAUUUCAGUGACGAUUCUAUUCAGAUCGUUGAGCUAAUACUUUAGAUUUUUACUUCUGCAUCAUCUUCCACGACGGGUUCUGCCGUUGGUUCUGCUUUUGCUUCGGUGGCUUGAAGCACUCAAAGCGCAGAAUCGGUGGCGCUGGCUGAGGAGAUCAGGAACGCGAGCGAGCAGGAGUCUCUGGAACCUUCGAUUGAAGCUGCAUUUAUUCUUAAUUUUUUUUUGUUCUUUGCUUUCUUCAGUUCUUCAAAUUUUUCAAAAGAUAUUAGCUGUUGUGAUAAUUUGAUGAUAUUUUUUCGAAGUUAUACACCAUCCUACUUCUUGUGUUCUAAUGUACUCCUCUUUUGUAAAUUUUUUAGGUCAAUGCAAAGGAAUUGAGGUUUAGUUAAGUUGAUUUGAUAUAUUAUAAAGGUCUAACAUUGCUAUUAAAAAUCACUGGAGUCACUCAAUGACAAAGAAAUGAGAAAUAUCCUCGCCUUUUGGUUUUUACCUAAUUGUUUUUACUUCUAGUUUCUGCACAUUUCCAAUAGAGCUAGCUAAUGUUUUAGAGAAUUUGAGAAGACUUAUGAUGCUGUUAUUGGAGAUAUUACCAUACUAGAGAAAAGAUUGCCAUAUGUGGACUUCACUGUGCCAUAUGCAAAAUCAAGAUUAUCAAUGUUAGUUCUAGCAAAGUCCGAAGAAUCAGCAUGGAUGUUCACCGAGCCAUUUACCUGGAAACUUUUGGAUAGUUACAUGAGCCGUCUUGAUCUAUACAAUACUGGUGGUUGCACUACAAGAAACACCGUUAAAAUCGAUGGCCAAAUCGACGGCUAGGCUGUCGAUAAUAUUAAAAAUCGAUGGCAAAAUUGACGGUGGAUGAGGUCGCUAUUAAACUUAUCAAUUUUUCAAAAUUUUAAUAAAAUCGAAGGCUUACCAGGCCGUCGAUAAUAAUUCAUUAAAAUCGACAAUCUUUCCGUCUAUAAUAUGAGUUUGAGAAUUUUAUCUUCUUAAUAAAAUCGACAGUUUUGCCGUCGAUAUUAUUAUACAAAAUUGACACCGUUUCCGUCGAUAUUUGAUUCAAUAAAAUCGACAAAAGAGUCGUCGAUUUAAUUAUUAAAAUACCGACAAAUUCAUUGUCUAUAUUUUGUUUUCUUUUGUCUAUUUUAAAUUUAAAAAGCAACAACUUUACCGUCGAUUUUAAUAGCCACAUUUUUUAAUUAUUUUUUCUAUUGAAAAAUAGCAGACAAUUAAUGUAAAUAAAAUUUUAAAUACCAAAAUAAAAUUUAUAAAAAAUAUUAGAUAACAAGACGAACAAAUUUUUAAAUAUAAUUUAUACUAAAUAUUAGAUAAUAAAUUUACAAACUUAUCAAAAUAAUAAAUAAUCCUCUAACAUAAAUACUCAAAACAAGAUAAAUAACUAAACUCAGACUUAUAUUUGUUUAAAUUGCGAUCCACUAAUAAUACAAAAUAUUCAAAGCAAAGUAAAUAACCCUACUUUGUUAAUAUGGUCAUGUAAUAGAACUGGCCUUGAAACAUUAAAACUUUGGUAUGUACUUUGCAUGCAGGAACCUUCUGAGAAUGGCUUUUUCCUCAUCGAAUUGUUUCUUCUCUGCCUGGUCCCUAGGUUUCAUUUUUCUUUUCUCUUGUAGCAUCCACAGGAGCACUUCACGUUGUUGUUCCUCAAGGAGAGGAUUGCGCACUGCCACAGGCGUCGUGGCAGGGACCAACAGAUCGUCGUAAUUUCAAGCCACUGAAGCUGUGAUAGGAUCCUGAGGGACUUCAGAACUUGCUCUGCCCUUGUGCAAUCUAUGUGCUUUCCUUCCACGAUUCUCCUUCAACUCUUGCAAUUGCACUCUGGCAAAUGUAAAAGCUGCCGGGAAUACAUAUCAUGGAGCAACAAAGUAGAAUGUGAUCCAUGAACUAAAGCGAGAUGUUAGUCAUAAAAUUAAGGCAUCCAUCUAAUAAUUUUCAGAACAUUAACUGUUGCAAUGAAUUAUGCUUAUGUUCUUUUAUUUGGAAUAGGAUAUAAUCUGAUGCUAGUUCAACAUCAUAAAGAGUUAAGGCGAAACUAAUAUAGGUUGAGAAUUUUCCAAUUACAUGAUGAAUGAAAUUAUGAAAUGAAAUCAUUAAUUUGGCUAUCAA